rnacentral:lncRNA from 1 species
GGCCUGCGCGGGGUAGGAGGCUUGUGUGUCUGCAGGCUAGCCCCUGCGUGUAGGGUAGGAGGCCUGUGCGCUUGCAAGCUAGCUUGCAACGUAUUGGCCGGGACAUUGCCACCACCGUUGGUGGAGGAAACUCUCCUCCCUCAUUUUUUAUGCUAAGUAUCUUUUUCUCCUCUCUCUUCACCGAAUUUUAUCACUUGGCACAAAUCUGAAGGUUCUAGAAUUUUAUAAAUUGAUCUUUCCACUUCCAUUC